CAGUAGCCGCGGGAAUACGGAGGGUGCAAGCGUUAAUCGGAAUUACUGGGCGUAAAGCGCACGCAGGCGGUUUGUUAAGUCAGAUGUGAAAUCCCCGAGCUUAACUUGGGAACUGCAUUUGAAACUGACAAGCUAGAGUCUUGUAGAGGGGGGUAGAAUUCCAGGUGUAGCGGUGAAAUGCGCAGAUAUCAGGAGGAACACCGGUGGCGAAGGUGGGUCUCUGGGCCGAUAUUGACGCUGAGGAGCGAAAGCGUGGGGAGCAAACAGGAUUAGAUACCCCAGUAGUCCCUGUCUCUUAUAC
rnacentral:rRNA from 1 species